GGAUCCAUGGCUCAGUUGGUUAGAGCGUCUCGUUUACAUCGAGAAGGUCGUAGGUUCGAAUCCUACUGGAUCCA
rnacentral:tRNA from 1 species